GCGCGCGUGGGCUGGUUGCCGUGGCCCGGGCGUCAUACGCUCGAACUCGUCGACGCGGCCGGUGCCGUGCGCGACAGCGUGCGCUUC
rnacentral:tRNA from 1 species